rnacentral:rRNA from 1 species
CGCGUAGGCGGUGAAACAAGUCACAUGUGAAAUACCAGGGCUCAACCUUGGGGGGUCAUGUGAAACUGCUUCACUUGAGUGCAGUAGAGGAGAGCGGAAUUCCUGGUGUAGCGGUAAAAUGCGUAGAGAUCAGGAGGAACACCGGUGGCGAAGGCGGCUCUCUGGGCUGUAACUGACGCUGAGGCGCGAAAGCGUGGGGAGCAAACAGGAUUAGAUACCCUGGUAGUCCACGCUGUAAACGAUGAUUACUAGGUGUAGGGGACGCAGGUCUUCUGUGCCGGAGCAAACGCAAUAAGUAAUCCGCCUGGGGAGUACGGCCGCAAGGUUGAA